rnacentral:misc_RNA from 1 species
UUUCCGUAGGUGAACCUGCGGAAGGAUCAUUAAAAAUGAAGCCGGGAAACCGGUCCUUCUAACCCUUGAUUAUCUUAAUUUGUUGCUUUGGUGGGCCGCGCAAGCACCGGCUUCGGCUGGAUCGUGCACGCCAGAGGACACAACUCUGUAUCAAAUGUCGUCUGAGUACUAUAAAAUAGUUAAAACUUUCAACAACGGAUCUCUUGGUUCUG